rnacentral:rRNA from 1 species
CCAAUUAAUUUAACUUGGGAGUCAGAACAUGGGUGAUAAGGUCCGUGUUCGAAAGGGAAACAGCCCAGACCACCAGCUAAGGUCCCAAAAUAUAUGUUAAGUGGAAAAGGAUGUGGCGUUGCCCAGACAACUAGGAUGUUGGCUUAGAAGCAGCUAUCAUUUAAAGAGUGCGUAAUAGCUCACUAGUCGAGUGACACUGCGCCGAAAAUGUACCGGGGCUAAACAUAUUACCGAAGCUGUGGAUUGUCCUUUGGACAAUGGUAGGAGAGCGUUCUAAGGGCGUUGAAGCAUGAUCGUAAGGACAUGUGG